GCGGUGCGGCAAGUUGGGAGUGAAAUUCUCUGGGCUUAACCCAGAGGCUGCCUUUCAAAACUUGCUGUGCUCGAGUGUGAGAGAGGCGCGUGGAAUUUGCAGGUGUAGCGGUUGAAAUGCGUAGAUAUCUGCAGGAACACCCGUGGCGAAAGCGGCGCGCUGGAUUCACUACUGACGCUGAGGAACGAAAGCUAGGGGAGCAAACAGGAUUAGAUACCCUGGUAGUCCUAGCCCUAAACGAUCAGGACUUGGGGUGCCGCCCGUUCGGGCGUCGUCCCGGAGCUAACGCGUUAAGUCCUGCACCUGGGGAGUACGGUCGCAAGACUGAAACUCAAAGGAAUUGACGGGGGCCCGCACAAGCGGUGGAACAUGUGGUUCAAUUCGACGCUACGCGAGGAACCUUACCUGGGCUCGAAAUGCUUAUGACCAGCUGUAGAAAUACGGCCUUCCCGCAAGGGACAUGAGUAUAGGCGCUGCAUGGCUGUCGUCAGCUCGUGCCGUG
rnacentral:rRNA from 1 species